UACGAGAGGCCCAACGUUAUUCGGAAUUACUGGGCUUAAAGAGUUCGUAGGCGGCAUGACAAGUAGGGUGUGAAAGCCUCGGCUUAACCGAGGAAUUGCGCUCUAAACUGUCGUGCUCGAGGACCUAGAGGUGAGCAGAACGAGAUGGUGGAGCGGUGAAAUGCGCAGAUAGUCAGGAGGAACACCGGUGGCGAAGGCGGGUCUCUGGG
rnacentral:rRNA from 1 species